rnacentral:rRNA from 1 species
AUUGAACGCUGGCGGCAUGCCUUACACAUGCAAGCCGAACGGUAACAGGUCUUCGGAUGCUGACGAGUGGCGAACGGGUGAGUAAUACAUCGGAACGUGCCUAGUAGUGGGGGAUAACUACUCGAAAGAGUGGCUAAUACCGCAUGAACUCUACGGAUGAAAGAAGGGGAUCGCAAGACCUUGUGCUACUAGAGCGGCCGAUGGCAGAUUAGGUACUUGGUGGGAUAAAAGCUUACCAAGCCGACGAUCUGUAGCUGGUCUGAGAGGACGAUCAGCCACACUGGGACUGAGACACGGCCCAGACUCCUACGGGAGGCAGCAGUUGGGAAUUUUGGACAAUGGGCGCAAGCCUGAUCCAGCAAUGCCGCGUGAAGGAUGAAGGCCUUCGGGUUGUAAACUGCUUUUGUACGGAACGAAAAGCCCUGGGUUAAUACCCUGGGGUCAUGACGGUACCGUAAGAAUAAGCACCGGCUAACUACGUGCCAGCCGCCGCCGUAA